rnacentral:rRNA from 1 species
CCUACGGGAGGCAGCAGUAGGGAAUAUUGCUCAAUGGGGGAAACCCUGAAGCAGCAACGCCGCGUGGAGGAUGAAGGUGUGCGGAGUGGAAACACCUGGUGGUAGAGAAGAAAAUGACGGUAUCUAACGAAUAAGCACCGGCUAACUCCGUGCCAGCAGCCGCGGUAAUACGGAGGGUGCAAGCGUUACUCGGAAUCACUGGGCGUAAAGAGCGCGUAGGGGGGAUUGCAAGUCAGAUGUGAAAUCCUAGGGCUUAACCCUAGAACUGCCUUUGAAACUGUUAUUCUAGAGUAUGGGAGAGGUAGGUGUAAUUCUUGGUGUCGCGGUCAAAUCCGUAGAGAUC